CGAAGAAUGGAUAUUACUGAAAAGGAGCACGAGAAUAAAGAAGUGAUAGAAACACAACAUCAUGAAAGUGAAACAACUCAUUGAGGCAAGCAUUAAGUCCUUUGGUGUUGUGUGUUGGGUAGGGUUGCUGACUCCUCUGGGGUGAGGGAGACUCAUCCUGAGCAGCAUACAGCACCAAGAUAAGGCGAUACAGCUAACCUGCACAACGCCAGGAAACGGAAAAUUAAAUACCGAAGAAACGAUAUUACAGAAAAAGAAUACGAAAAUAAAAAAAGUCAUGGAAACACAACAUGGACUGACACUCUGAUGACGACCCACGCAACAAGGCCCCCUGACACUCCCUGGACACUCUCUGAUCAAUGGACGGACACUCUGAUGACGACCCACGCAACAAGGCCCCUGACACUCCCUGGACACUCUCUGAACAAUGGACGGACACGCUGAUGACGACCCACGCAACAAGGCCCCUGACACUCCCUGGACACUCUCUGAACAAUGGACGGACACGCUGAUGACGACCCACGCAACAAGGCCCCUGACACUCCCUGGACACUCUGAACACUGCCCUGACCAUUUGCAACAAAAAAUCUCCUCACGACGUAACCUAAAAAGGACAAAAUCCCCCCCGACAAAAAAAAAAAAUAGUUAACUUUCCAAACUAUAACGAAAUAGUUGUCACCAACAAGACAUCAAAAUAAAGAAGCCAUAAAAAAGAAAAAGAAAAAAAGCAACAAAGAAAUCAACUCAAGCAGUAGUAAAAAAAAAAGACCUAACAAAUCUAAAAAGGUCAACUCCUGAUCAGUCAAAAAAUAGAAAACUAAAAACAUAUAAUGCCAAAAUGUAACGAAACGUAUGAACUCAAAACGAAG